rnacentral:rRNA from 1 species
GAUGAACGCUAGCGGCAGGCUUAACACAUGCAAGUCGAGGGGUAGAGGCUUUCGGGCCUUGAGACCGGCGCAAGGGCGCGUAACGCGUAUGCAAUCUGCCUUGUACUGGGGGAUAGCCCAGAGAAAUUUGGAUUAAUACACCAUAGUCUUUUAGGUUGGCAUCAACUGAUUAUUAAAGUUUUUCGGUACAAGAUGAGUAUGCGUCCCAUUAGCUGUUUGGUAUGGUAACGGCAUACCAAGGCUACGAUGGGUAGGGGUCCUGAGAGGGAGAUACACCGCACUGGAAAUGAGACACGGACCAGACUCCUACGGGAGGCAGCAGUGAGGAAUAUUAGGCAAUGGUCGCAAGACUGAACCAGCCAUGCCGCGUGCAAGAUGAAGCAUCUAUGGUGUGUAAACUGCUUUUGUACGGGAAGAAACACUGCUACGUGUAGCAGCUUGACGGUACCGUAAGAAUAAGGAUCGGCUAACUCCGUGCCAGCCGCCGCGGUAAUAC